UGCGGCCAGUCAGAUGGCAGGGGCCGCUUUAAUUUGGAUAAGCCUUCUCCGAAAGGAGCCCUGCUGAUGUAAUAACGGGGAAAAUCCCUGUGUGAAAGGCCCUGAAACUGACGGGCUGGGAAACGCUGAUUCCCCGUGGGCAGGAAUGCUUGUCUAAUCGCGACGGCUCUGCACAGCUCCUGCCCAGGUAUGAAGUGCAGCGGCUUGCACCAGUGCUAGGGCGGAGAUGCACUGUUUGCCCGACUGUUUGGGGUGUGUCAGGGGCUCUGCUUAGAACUCGCACAAUUCUGAACGGAGGAGGAGAAAGUCCAGUUACUGAAGGGCAGAAUUUCCAUGCGCCUGCAGCCUCCAAAUCCAGACCACCCCCGAAUUCACCUCUGACAAAAUUCUGGGGACGCUGGGUACCCUGAAUCACCAUGGGCAAUGAGAACAGCACCUUGGACAACCAGCAGGAGGACGCCGGCUUGCAUAACGUCAUCCUGUGGCCUCCAAACCCUGAGCCCCCACAG